UGCGCCCUCAAUCGGAAGCUGCUUUGGGGCUUUUAUAGUUCAAUUGCCAAUAAUACGGAAAGUGAAAGGGGAUAGCAUUACCCAAGUCGUGAAAGUUAAGGCAGAUUGAGAGGUGGAGUGCUUAAAACAUAAACUUUUGCGUCUUUUACCGUUACAAGGACGGUGAAUUACGGACAGUUUAGUGCACUAUCCAUAGACACGCAUGUACAUACACACAUGUAUGUACAUACAUAUGAAACGAAGCAAAGAACGCAGUCAGCAGAAAACAGCAAUCGGGCAACAACAAACGCGCUGACCAAGGUAGAAAACCUUUUCGUGGUAGCUUUCUGAGGGGUGAAUAGCGGCCAUCUUGGAUUUUCAGCGGUAGCAACGCAAUGCUGUAUAUAUUGAGAAUUACCGUUGAGGAACCACAAAAAAGAAAUGGACAAACUGCGGAGAGUAUGGUUACACGAAAGUGUAUUGCACCCUACGCACCGUCUGUGUGGUGAUUUAAAUCCUACAUCAAAAUGUACUCUUAAAAAAGAGGAUUUAAAUUAAAAAUGUAAAAAAUGUGGAGGAAUCCUAAUAAAAUUAUUGAUAUUCCUGUAAUCUUAA